GGUUAAGCGACUAAGCGUACACGGUGGAUGCCCUGGCAGUCAGAGGCGAUGAAGGACGUGCUAAUCUGCGAAAAGCGUCGGUAAGGUGAUAUGAACCGUUAUAACCGGCGAUGUCCGAAUGGGGAAACCCAGUGCAAUUCGUUGCACUAUCGUUAACUGAAUACAUAGGUUAACGAGGCGAACCGGGGGAACUGAAACAUCUAAGUACCCCGAGGAAAAGAAAUCAACCGAGAUUCCCCCAGUAGCGGCGAGCGAACGGGGAGCAGCCCAGAGUCUGAAUCAGCUUGUGUGUUAGUGGAACGGUCUGGAAAGUCCGACGGUACAGGGUGAUAGUCCCGUACACCAAAAUGCACAGGCUGUGAACUCGAAGAGUAGGGCGGGACACGUGGUAUCCUGUCUGAAUAUGGGGGGACCAUCCUCCAAGGCUAAAUACUCCUGACUGACCGAUAGUGAACCAGUACCGUGAGGGAAAGGCGAAAAGAACCCCGGCGAGGGGAGUGAAAAAGAACCUGAAACCGUGUACGUACAAGCAGUGGGAGCACCUUCGGGUGUGACUGCGUACCUUUUGUAUAAUGGGUCAGCGACUUAUAUUCUGUAGCAAGGUUAACCGUAUAGGGGAGCCGCAGGGAAACCGAGUCUUAACUGGGCGUUAAGUUGCAGGGUAUAGACCCGAAACCCGGUGAUCUAGCCAUGGGCAGGUUGAAGGUUGGGUAACACUAACUGGAGGACCGAACCGACUAAUGUUGAAAAAUUAGCGGAUGACUUGUGGCUGGGGGUGAAAGGCCAAUCAAACCGGGAGAUAGCUGGUUCUCCCCGAAAGCUAUUUAGGUAGCGCCUCGUGAACUCAUCUUCGGGGGUAGAGCACUGUUUCGGCUAGGGGGUCAUCCCGACUUACCAACCCGAUGCAAACUACGAAUACCGAAGAAUGUUAUCACGGGAGACACACGGCGGGUGCUAACGUCCGUCGUGAAGAGGGAAACAACCCAGACCGCCAGCUAAGGUCCCAAAGUCAUGGUUAAGUGGGAAACGAUGUGGGAAGGCACAGACAGCCAGGAUGUUGGCUUAGAAGCAGCCAUCAUUUAAAGAAAGCGUAAUAGCUCACUGGUCGAGUCGGCCUGCGCGGAAGAUGUAACGGGGCUAAACCAUGCACCGAAGCUGCGGCAGCGACACUAUGUGUUGUUGGGUAGGGGAGCGUUCUGUAAGCCUGCGAAGGUGACCUGUGAGGGUUGCUGGAGGUAUCAGAAGUGCGAAUGCUGACAUAAGUAACGAUAAAGCGGGUGAAAAGCCCGCUCGCCGGAAGACCAAGGGUUCCUGUCCAACGUUAAUCGGGGCAGGGUGAGUCGACCCCUAAGGCGAGGCCGAAAGGCGUAGUCGAUGGGAAACAGGUUAAUAUUCCUGUACUUGGUGUUACUGCGAAGGGGGGACGGAGAAGGCUAUGUUAGCCGGGCGACGGUUGUCCCGGUUUAAGCAUGUAGGCUGGUU
rnacentral:rRNA from 2 species